GAUGAACGCUGGCGGCGUGCCUAAUACAUGCAAGUCGAGCGAACAGACGAGGAGCUUGCUCCUCUGACGUUAGCGGCGGACGGGUGAGUAACACGUGGAUAACCUACCUAUAAGACUGGGAUAACUUCGGGAAACCGGAGCUAAUACCGGAUAAUAUAUUGAACCGCAUGGUUCAAUAGUGAAAGACGGUUUUGCUGUCACUUAUAGAUGGAUCCGCGCCGCAUUAGCUAGUUGGUAAGGUAACGGCUUACCAAGGCAACGAUGCGUAGCCGACCUGAGAGGGUGAUCGGCCACACUGGAACUGAGACACGGACCAGACUCCUACGGGAGGCAGCAGUAGGGAAUCUUCCGCAAUGGGCGAAAGCCUGACGGAGCAACGCCGCGUGAGUGAUGAAGGACUUCGGAUCGUAAAACUCUGUUAUUAGGGAAGAACAAAUGUGUAAGUAACUAUGCACGUCUUGACGGUACCUAAUCAGAAAGCCACGGCUAACUACGU
rnacentral:rRNA from 1 species